CCCAAAGUGCUGGGAUUACAGGUUUGAGCCACCGCGCCCGGCCAAGGACCAGUUUUCAACAAAAAGCACAAGACGUUCAAAGAAACAGGAAAACAGGUACCAUUCAAUGGAAGAAACUGACAAAACCGAGAAUUCUAAAAAUAGCCCUUCAAAAAUUAGAGUUAAGGCUUGCUAUCGUGGCUCAUGCCUGUAAUCCCAGCACUUUGGGAGGCCAAGGCGGGAAGAUUGCUUGAGGCCAGGAGUAUGACACCAGCCUGGGCAACACUGUGAGAACCCCGUGUCUACACAAAAAGCACACAGAAAAAAUGAGCUGAGUGUAGUGGCGCGCACCUGUAAUCCCAGCUACUCAGGAGGCUGAGGCAGGAGAAUCGCCUGAGCCUGGGAGGCAGAGCUUGCAGUGAGCCAAGAUGGCGCCACUGUACUCCAGUCUGGGCC
ensembl:lncRNA novel transcript, antisense to GNPTG